AUGAGCUCAUGGAGUCAGUAUUAUAAAGCAAAACAUGAAGAGUAUCCCAGGGAAACCUUGAGAGAAAUCCGUAAUUACUAAGAAUGACAUGGAAGAAGAAUUAACAGAGACUGAGAAGGAGUGAUAGGACAGAUCAAGGAGAACCAGAAGAAAGAAGUAUCAUGAAAACCUAGCGAGAAAAAUGAGUAUCCAGGAGAAGAAAACCGAACUGGACUCUCAACUCACUGCACUUUGCAUCUGCUGCUCUGCCUGGCCUCAACUCCACAGAACAAGAUACCCCAGAAACAGAUUUUCAAUCAUAUAUGAGGCCUUUAAGAGAGGGGAGGAAAGAAAAACAAGAGUAAACCUCUGAAGUAAAGUUGGAGGUAAAGGAGUGUUUAUACAACUAAAAGAUAAUCUUUGGCAUUUAGAAGAGAAUCAAGAAUCUGAACAGGAAUGACUCAAAUGUGGAAAUGACUUUUUGCUUGCUUUUUCUGUCUCUAAUGUGAGAAGUGAUACAAUACUGCCUCCUCAAUUCUAUGACAGGGGAAAGAACAAGAUGAGCAAAUAAAAAAUAAACCCUAUCCCCUAAAACUCUCCUUACCUCAGCUUUUGUUCUGAUUAUUCAUGGUUCUGACCAGACAAUUAAGAUUCUAUGAUACUUUUCCAUUUAGAAACAGGAAUUUGCUGAGCACAAGGAAGCAUCAGCUGGAGAACAUAUUCAUUUAUUCACAACAACAUAUGAAAAGCUAACAAUAAACCAUACAUCAAAAG